rnacentral:rRNA from 1 species
GGCUUGUUGAUUUUAAUUUCAAGUUUGGCCUGCCCAGUGAAAUUUAAAUGGCUGCGGUAUAUUAACCGUACAAAGGUAGCAUAAUCAUUAGUUUUUUAAUUGAAGGCUGGAAUGAAAGGUUAGAUGAGAAAAUGACUGUCUCUAUAAAAAUUUAAUAGAAUUUUAUUUUUAAGUGAAAAAGCUUAAAUUUAAAUAGAAGACGAGAAGACCCUAUAGAGUUUUAUAAUUUAAAAAAUAAAGAAAUUUUAGUUGUAGAAUAUUUUUUAUUUAAAGAAUUAUUUUAUUGGGGUGAUAAAAAAAUUUGAUUAACUUUUUUUUAAUAAAAACAUUAAUUUAUGAAGAUUUGAUCUUGAGAUUUAGAUUAGAAGAAUAAAUUACCUUAGGGAUAACAGCGUAAUUUUUUUUAGAGUUCUUAUCGAAAAAAAAGAUUGCGACCUCGAUGUUGGAUUAAAAUUUAUUGUAGGUGAAGAAGCUUAUAGAUUAGGUCUGUUCGACCUUUAAAAUUUUACAUGAUCUGAGUUUAAACCGGUGUGAG